AGUAAAAAAGGAAAAAAAACUAAGCCCAAUGCGGGGCUCGAACCCGCGACAACCAGAUUAAGAGUCUGGUGCUCUACCGACUGAGCUAACCGGGCGGCGAUAGCGAGUGAAAUGCAACACUAAUAAAAACUUGCCACUUGCAACUACCGUU
ensembl:ncRNA F55F3.8 ncRNA